rnacentral:rRNA from 1 species
AUUGAACGCUGGCGGCAUGCCUUACACAUGCAAGUCGAACGGUAACAGGUCUUCGGAUGCUGACGAGUGGCGAACGGGUGAGUAAUGCAUCGGAACGUGCCCAGUAGUGGGGGAUAGCCCGGCGAAAGCCGGAUUAAUACCGCAUACGACCUGAGGGUGAAAGGGGGGGAUCGCAAGACCUCUCGCUAUUGGAGCGGCCGAUGUCAGAUUAGCUGGUUGGUGGGGUAAAGGCCUACCAAGGCAACGAUCUGUAGUUGGUCUGAGAGGACGACCAGCCACACUGGGACUGAGACACGGCCCAGACUCCUACGGGAGGCAGCAGUGGGGAAUUUUGGACAAUGGGCGCAAGCCUGAUCCAGCAAUGCCGCGUGCAGGAAGAAGGCCUUCGGGUUGUAAACUGCUUUUGUCAGGGAAGAAAUCUUCUGGGUUAAUACCUCGGGAGGAUGACGGUACCUGAAGAAUAAGCACCGGCUAACUACGUGCCAGCCGCCGCGGUAACAC